GUCCAGUCCCUGGAAGAUGAAGUUAGUUAGCAUUUGGUGCCCAGCCAGCAGCAAUGUGACUUAGGCUUUUCGUCCUAGUAGGAAUUUGACUCAUUGGGCCUGCAAAAGAUUUUCGUGACAAAUGAAAUAUUUUUCUAAACCAAGGACUUGGGGAUAACUUCAGGGUCAAAGACAUCUUAUCAUAUUUAAGAACAGCCACAGGAUGUCUAGGAGCCAGCAGAGGGGCCAGAUAUGCUGCAGUUUAUGCUGUAAAAGGAAGCCUGCCGCCGUGAGUGGUCCAGUGGGAGCUCUUGCUUUGUGUCCUCAGCCUUUCACCUUUCCAUCUGAUGACUUGCUCUGAAUCUUCACUUCCUGGGCAGAGCUCUGAGUAUAGAUGAGGCAAACUUCACAUGGAAAAGAAGCCAUAUUUUGAAAAAACUACACGGAAUCAAAGAGAACUAACUCAAAGAAGCAAAAUUUUGGAGAUAAAACAAGCACCAUUCAGAAUCUGGACAUAUAAUAUGUUUAUGGCAUUUAACCUAGUCAGACAGUAGAUAUUGCUCUAAGUCAUGGCCUACACCUGUGAGCCUACUUAUAUCAGCAUUUGCCAAAUGUACUUGUAGCUGUGGUACUGACCUCAGAGAACUUAGCCAAAGAGCAAAGACUGCCUAAUUCAAGAAGUACUGGCUGUACAGGAAGCAUAAUGCCAGCAUCUGUUUCUGGUGAGGCCUCAGGAAGCUUUUACUUAUGGUGGAAGGUGAAGGAGGAACAGGUGUCUCACAGGGCAAGAGGAGCAAGAGGGAGCAGAGAAGAUGUUCCAGGAUUACUUCAUGCUGUCCAGGUCCUAGACAUGGAAUCGUUUGCUUCUUCAAAAGUCUGGAUCCCUUUAAGAUACGAAAUGUAUUUAGAAACCAAAGUAUGGAUGCUAGGUGUGCUCAUGGCCAUUGGAGUGUGUUUCUAGACCCAGGAAUAAGCAAACAAUGGCCUGUAAACUAUAUCCUGUCUGUGGCCUGUUUUUGUACAUCCUAAGAACUAAAAAUUAUUUUAAAAAUUGUAAAUGGGAAAAAGUCAACAACAACAAACAAAUCAACAAAUAACCCCACAAAUAAACAGUUUCUUAAAGACCAGAAUGACCAAGAAAUCUAUGAAACAGAGACCGUAUACUGCCCAG
rnacentral:lncRNA from 1 species